rnacentral:rRNA from 1 species
GACGAACGCUGGCGGCGUGCUUAACACAUGCAAGUCGUACGGUAAGGCCCUUUCGGGGGUCCACGAGUGGCGAACGGGUGCGUAACACGUGAGUAACCUGCCCACAACUUUGGGAUAACGCUAGGAAACUGGUGCUAAUACUGGAUAUGUGCUCCUGCUGCAUGGUGGGGGUUGGAAAGCUCCGGCGGUUGUGGAUGGACUCGCGGCCUAUCAGCUUGUUGGUGGGGUAGUGGCCUACCAAGGCGGCGACGGGUAGCCGGCCUGAGGGGGUGACCGGCCACAUUGGGACUGAGGUACGGCCCAGACUCCUACGGGAGGCAGCAGGGGGGAAUAUUGCACAAUGGGCGCAAGCCUGAUGCAGCAACGCCGCGUGCGGGAUGACGGCCUUCGGGUUGUAAACCGCUUUCAGCAGGGACGAAGCUUUUUGUGACGGUACCUGCAGAAGAAGCACCGGCUAACUACGUG